rnacentral:rRNA from 1 species
UGCCAGCAGCCGCGGUAAUACGUAGGGAGCGAGCGUUGUUCGGAUUUACUGGGCGUAAAGAGCAUGUAGGCGGGUAUCCAAGUCGGUUGUGAAAUCCUCUGGCUCAACCAGAGAACUGCAAUCGAAACUGUUUACCUUGAGUCUAGCAGAGGGAAUCGGAAUCAAGAGUGUAGCGGUGAAAUGCGUAGAUAUUCUUGAAAACACCAGUGGCGAAGGCGGAUUCCUGGGCUGGUACUGACGCUGAGAUGCGAAAGCUAAGGGAGCGAACAGGAUUAGAUA